GGAGACUAAAUGACCCUCAAACAUGCAUGAAAGAAUCAAAGCAACAUUUUGAGCAUGUUUUUGAUGAGGGAAUAAGAUUAUAACAUGAUGUAAAGCUGAAACAACACCGUCCCUUUAAGGCUCCGGCUGCUUCUUGGCAGCAGCAGGAGCUCAGGUGUUUUCAGCGGGAACAUUCGGCCCACGCGGCCUUCGUUCUGAGACGCUCGGCUCACAGCUGAGGUUGUAACAGCUUCUGUUCUCUGUCUUGUUCUCGGCGGGGAACAACAGGAAAUCAUCCACGGCGUCCCGCAGAGCGGCGGCUCUGUCACACCGGCUCUGCUCAGGAGAGACGACUGUUUCUGAUUCGAGUUUGCUGGGGUUUGGGCCCAUUCCUCUCAUUACUGGUUAAACUGGGAAGCAGACAGAGAGCAGCCAGAGCGAGGUGAGCUGCCACCUAAUUAAGAGGUGACUGACUCAGAGGCGUCGACCAGAAGACGUUCAAGCUGCAGAGUGAACUUCCUUCUGAUCCUGGGAAAUCAGCAGAGGCGAUGUUGCUUAGAAACAGAAAAACAUCACGUCUCUGCGGCUUUAAAUGUGAUGAAUGUGACAAGUAAAACCUCAACAUGAAACUCGU